AAAGGGAGCUUCAGUCAAUAUAUAUAAACAAUACACCAACGUUUCAUGAGAACUGCUGAAAACAUUUUUGUGUUAAUGUCUGAAAACUGGAAAAUCACCCCUUUUUAAUUAAUAAAACCCGUUAACUCGGAAACGUAAAAUCUAAAAUUUAUAAAAAUUGAAAGUUACCUCAUGUUAAUAGAUAUAAACAAUUCACCAAAAUUCCUUGCUUUGUGAAAGCAUUUUUGAGAUAUUAUCAGAAAACUGAAAUAAAAC
rnacentral:lncRNA from 1 species